UUUAUGGAGAGUUUGAUCCUGGCUCAGGAUGAACGCUGGCGGCGUGCCUAAUACAUGCAAGUCGAGCGAACAGACGAGGAGCUUGCUCCUCUGACGUUAGCGGCGGACGGGUGAGUAACACGUGGAUAACCUACCUAUAAGACUGGGAUAACUUCGGGAAACCGGAGCUAAUACCGGAUAAUAUAUUGAACCGCAU
rnacentral:rRNA from 1 species